rnacentral:rRNA from 1 species
GAUGAACGCUAGCGGCAGGCUUAACACAUGCAAGUCGAGGGGCAGCGCGGGUAGCAAUACCUGGCGGCGACCGGCAAACGGGUGCGGAACACGUACAGAACCUACCUUGAUCUGGGGCAUAGCCCCGGAGAAAUCCGGAUUAACUCCCCAUAACAUAACGGAGUGGCAUCACUCUGCUAUUAAAAAUUCAUUGGAUCGAGAUGGCUGUGCGUCCCAUUAGCUAGUUGGUAGGGUAACGGCCUACCAAGGCAACGAUGGGUAGCUGGUGUG